GAACAACGUUCCUCUCGUGGGCAAACUAUUGGGUAGUGGUUCGAAGGGGGAAGGAUCUUCUUCUGGAGGAGCAUCUGGAACAGACUCUUCUGGUGGAGAAACAUCUGCCUCAUAAAUGACAUGACUUGGUGAAGACGCAGGACUGUGAUGACAAUGCCUUGCUGCUCUUAUGCUCUUCCUGCCCUUUGCUUUCCCUUCAAGCCAAUCAAAUGAAAAUAGAGAAUCUCAAAUCAUAGUGGUACAAUCUAGAUUCAUUGUCAGUGAGAUCGUUGAUUGUUUUGCCUUUUUAAAAAGGGGGCUUGGGAUGAGAACGAUUCUGUUACAUCCCAGGAGAAUGUCAAAAGCUUUGCAAAAAUAAAACUGCAACAGCAGGAAA